rnacentral:rRNA from 1 species
GAGUUUGAUCCUGGCUCAGGGUGAACGCUGGCGGCGUGCUUGACACAUGCAAGUCGAACGGUAUGUGGCAACACAUAGAGUGGCGAACGGGUGAGUAACACGUGGGAACGUAUCUUUUGCAGGGGGAUAACUGACCGAAAGGACAGCUAAUACCGCAUAAGUCCGGGAGGAGAAAGGUGCAACAGCAUCGGCAGAAGAGCGGCCCGCGGUCCAUCAGCUAGUUGGUGAGGUAAGGGCUUACCAAGGCGACGACGGAUAGCCGGCGUGAGAGCGUGGCCGGCCACAAGGACACUGAGAUACGGGUCCUACUCCUACGGGAGGCAGCAGUGCGGAAUUUUAGAUAAUGGAGGGAACUCUGAUCUAGCGACGCCGCGUGCAGGAAGAAGGUCUUCGGAUUGUAAACUGCUGUGGUAAGGGAAAAAUGCUAUGUAGAGUGGAAAGCUACAUAGAGGGAUGGUACCUUACUAGAAAGCCCCGGCUAACUACGUGCCAGCAGCCGCGGUAAUACGUAGGGGGCGAGCGUUACCCGGAAUCACUGGGCGUAAAGGGAGCGUAGGUGGCCUAACAUGUCAACUGUGAAAACCCGGAGCUCAACUCCGGACUUGCAGUUGAAACUGGUAGGCUUGAGGACGGUAGAGGAAGACGGAACUGCCAGUGUAGGGGUAAAAUCCUUAGAUAUUGGCAGGAACGCCGGUGACGAAGGUGGUUUUCUGGGCCGGUUCUGACACUGAUGCUCGAAAGCCAGGGGAGCGAACGGGAUUAGAUACCCCGGUAGUCCUGGCCCCAAACGAUGUUCACUAGGUGUGGGGAGCGGAAAGCUCUCCGUGCUAAAGCUAACGCGAUAAGUGAACCGCCUGGGGAGUACGCCCGCAAGGGUGAAACUCAAAGGAAUGACG